rnacentral:rRNA from 1 species
UACGGAGGGUGCGAGCGUUGUCCGGAAUCACUGGGCGUAAAGGGCGCGUAGGCGGCUCAUGAAGGCUGUGGUGAAAGUCCGGGGCUCAACCUCGGAUCGGCCGUGGCGACUCGUGGGCUGGAGCACUGUAGAGGCGGGUGGAAUUCCGGGUGUAGCGGUGGAAUGCGUAGAGAUCCGGAGGAACACCGAUGGCGAAGGCAGCCCCCUGGGCUGACACUGACGCUCAGGCACGAAAGCGUGGGGAGCAAACAGG